rnacentral:lncRNA from 1 species
CUCUCCUCCCGAUUUUUGCUCCAGCCGCCCGACCUUUCCUCCUUCUCCUUGACGCCACGACCGCCACACUUGGAACCGAUCUCCGCCGUUGGUACCAAACGAACCACCACUCGACCGCCGACGUUUCUUGACCCUUCGCUGGAGUUUCCGUGGCCGGAGCUUGCCGGAAAACUCCAUUUUCGCCGGAUUUCCAGUUUGAAUUUUGAGCUCGAUUUUCUCCUUCAAUUCUCCACCAAAUCGAUCGAGUAAGGUAUGGUUUCUCAGCUAUUUUUCGUGUUCUAACUAAUAGAUGUAUGGGUUUCGAUCGAGACCUGCCAGGAUUGCGGAUCAGGCUGACUACGGUCCCUGCAUCCUGCCAGAGCGACGCGAGCUGACUUGGUGUCAUCGAGGAAUCUGCCGGCGGAUCAGGCUGAUCAUAGUCUCCUGAUUUCGCCAGUUUGCGGCUCGGGUAGACUGCGUGGUGCCCGAGACCUGCCAGGGGAAUUGACGGAUAUGACAAGGGUACAAAUAGGUGGUAUUUUCAAAGGAUUUUGAGUUUUCUUUUAUUCGAUUAUGACUUUCAGUUAUUUUAUAUCAGUUUCUUUGAUAUUCAUGCAUUUAUAUCUUUACAUAUUUGUUCAGUUAUAUGAGCACAUUCAUCAGUAGGUUUUUACAUGCUUAUUUGAAUACCUUGUAUUGAAAUAUAGACAAACCCUCGAGUUAAAUCCUUGCUUAUUUUUAAAUGGGGGUUACUAUGUUUAUAAAAUUUAUUUUCAAGAACUUAAUUUUUGUCCACUCACAUUUUCAACCUGUUUUUCGACCCCAGGCCGUAGAAGUGCGCAGGAUCCACCACCGGGUCAUCCCUAGCUUCCGCGCCAUCAAGUAUUGAGUUUUGUGGAAAAGUUCUUGAAACUCUGUGAACUUUAGAAAAUGCUCUGAUAUCUAAUUUUAGUGGAAAACUGGAGUUGGUGAAUAUUUGGUUAUUCUAUUCUGGUAGUUGGUGUGGAUUUAUUUGAUUGUUUAACAGGUGAAAAAAAGUUGGGUUCGGUCAAAAUACAGGGGAGAGUCUGCCGAAUUUUCGGCAGAAGUCUAAGGGAAAAUUUAAAAAGAAUUUGAAACAAGAAGGGUAAAAAGGUCCUUUGUGCCAGACAUUCGCCAGGUGUCAGACACGCACAGGACUGGGCUCGAAUUCCAAAGUGGAAAUUGGGUCUGGUCCGGUCAAUUUGGUAUCAGAGCAUAGGUUUUACUUCCUGUAGACUUCGCACUCUGUGCAUCCUUGUUUUCUUUUCAAGUUGGGCCCAAAUGGUGGUGGUAUCCGUAGGGAAAUUAGACAGAACUCCCGACGUAAGGGGAUGAGAUUUCCAAGUCAGACAGGAACUGCACCGGUAUUUGAAUCGGCAGAGAAAACUUUUGUUAGAGGCUCGUCAGGAGCCGUAUUCACUGUACCUAGUAGGCGGAGAAAUCCAAAUGUCCAGUAGACCUUGGAGGUGUUAGCUCAGGCUUUAGUCAGCCAGAGAUCCAUCCAUGAGAUGGGUGGAUCAAGUAAAAAGGAUUGAGAACUAUAAAUUUUGGUAAUAAUUGUCUUCAGUAGUAAAGGAAGAUUGGAUUGAAAGGAAUAGAGUAGAUCAUGAAGGUCAUGGUUGUUCCACAGAAGAGUAGAGUAUUUGUGGGAUUUGGUUAAGAAAUGAUUCCAGGAUCCUUCGAUUAAUACGUAACAAGUAUUUGAGAGCCAAAGUUGAUAGUCAGUCUUAUCUAUAAGUCUACAGAAGGUGUGGAUGCAGGAGUUUUUGCAGCAGAAUAGAGGAUAGUGGUUGAACCCGAAUACGAGAAAAAGGUUUCACGUAUUAUUUUCUACUAGUAGGGAUCGAAAAGUAAGAGGUAGUACUUGGUUGUGAUAAGGUUAAAAAGCCUCUAUCCAAGGUAUUGUGAUCAGUUAGUAGUUGGUUAACCUUGAUGCCGUGGUGAUGUCUGGCCCCGUAAGAUAAUGGGCAGACCAUGGGGUACACUUUGUGCAUAGUAUUUGGAUAUAGGUAACAUUAAUCAGGAAGAGUUUAAGAGAGAUAUCUACAGUAGUGAUUACAGUUUCUGAUCACCGAAUGACCGCAGGUAUAGAGACUGCCGACCUGGAUUUAGUUUAAGUAAAGGUACCAGCCAGAACAGUAGUAUUGGUAGUCGUUCUAGGGCUGGUAUAGCCAGAAGUAUGGGAAGACAGAUGUUGCUAGGCUCUAACAAGAGAAGUUGCCUUAAUGUGUCAGGUGUGGCAGGCAUCGUUCCGGGCCCUGCUAGUGAGGUACAGCUGGAGGAUAUUAUUAUCAAAAAGGGUUGUCGCUGUUUCUUCAGCAUAAAAAGAUUAUUACUGCAGCGAAACAAGUAAGCAAGGUAAAUCACAGAAAACACCACAGUCUAUGGAGGCUCUGUUUCGUGGUGGGUCUAGAUCAGUGUGGCUAGUUAAGGAAGUAGUCAGCUGAAGGGAUACAGUAACAGUUUUAAACUUGCAAGUAGACAGUAUAACCUGCCUCAGUGGGAAACAUGAGCCUUAUUUAUUGCAGUUACAGAUUGAAUUCCCCUUCGGCAUGGUUGACUAGAGGUCAUGUUAGGGUUGAAUUAAUUUGAUCAGAUACCAUGUCGCAGAGUUACCUUUCAUUGGGAAAUUGGAUUUAUUCUUGAGUUCACUCCAGGAAUGGAGCUUAUUUCUUGGGUGAAGUACAAAAAGACACCAAUAAGUUGAAGGAGUUAGAGACUCAAUUGCAGGAAUAAAUAGUGAAGAGGAUCAUUUAGCUUAGUGUUUUCCUCAUUAAAGUGUUCUAGAGUUAUUUAAGGAAGAAGAUAUCAUCAUGAAGGUAUGCACGGACUCAAGGUAGCUGGAUAAGAUUACAGUACUGAACUAGGCGUCUAUGGUUUCACAGUAAGGAAUUGUUUAAUAAGCUAAGAAGUGCCAAGGAAUUUUCUAACAAGUGAUUUGAGGCUUGGAUAACUCCAGUAAUGAAUUAGAAAGAAGUAUGUGCUUAACAACAGCGUGCUGAAUAAGGUAUGGGUACUUUGAGUUCUUGAUCAUGAUAUGAAGAAUUAAAGAAUGUGUCAGUUGCAUUUGUGAACCCCCCUUAAACAGAGAAUUUUGGUAUUGUUGAGAUCACUUCGUGACUGUGUGUCUAGAUGACAUCUUGGACGUAUUUUAAGAGACAAUAGGCACGUAUGAGAUAGUUAAAUGUCGGUUGACCGAGUGAAACCUUUUGGGACACACAAUUUCGGUUGAAAGCAUUUUAUUGAUCCUCAAGGAUUGAAGCAGUGGUAAAUUUAGUUAUGACCAAUCAGUGCUACUGAGAUACAGAAUUUUCUAGGUAAGCUGAUUCUUGUUGUCGCCCUGUGAAAAGGGUUGUCCACCAUGGCGACGCCGCUCAUCUUUUUAGCAAAGAAGGAAGUUCUAUUGGUGUGGUCAGACCGGUGUGAAUUUCAACACUGCAGGAGGUUAGUGGGAACUUGAUAUGCUACAGUAUUGUGGUCAUAAGAAUUAAAGGUUGUGCUGGUACAGUGUGGUUUGCAAUAAGAAUUGGGGUUUGCGUUAAUACAGUAUGGUAGAGUGAGCACUUAUGCGUCUCAACAAUUGAAGAAGCAGGAAUCAAAGUAUUUUACUCAAGAUUCGAAAAGGUCAUAUUAAGUUGGUUUAGUAAAAUUAAUGACAGUAUUUUUAUAGGGAAGUAUGCUAGAUCCUUACAGAUCAUAAAGGAUUACCAUAUGUAUUUAUCCAGGAGGAAGAAAAAUUGAGACGGAGAGCACAGUCAGAGAUUAUAGGUACACUCAAGUGUGAAUUUCUCAGGAGAAGUAGCUUAUCUCCGAAGGAAAUGUUGAUCCGUGAUGGUAAGACUGAGGAAAUUCAAAAUGGACUAGAUAUGGAUAAACAAAAAGCACCGUUAACCACUCUUCAGGAAGGAUCAGUGUUAAGGAACUCAAAGAUUCGCAGGAUAUUUUCAAGAUCUAGAGUCGACUCCUAUGAGAAGAAGUUGAAUUAUAUGAUAAGGAAAGUGACAUUUUAAAAUAGAUGAGGUUUCUUAUGAGGAAAGACACAGUAAAGUUUGCCAAUAAGCGAUAUUUCAGUGACAGAAAUCAACAGGAUUCUUGAGACCAUUUCCGAUUUCUGAAAGGAAGUAGGAGUAACUUACAAUGGAUUUUAUGUUCAGCUUCCUUAUACAUAAAGAAAGCAGAACGGAGUGUAGGAAAUUAAGGAUCGAUUCAGUAAGUCUGAAUAUAUUCCGCAUGUGAGAAUCAAGUAUAGUCUGAAUAAACUGGUAAGAAUCUUCACAGAUAAGGUCUUGCAACGUUAUGGAAUACCAGUCCCUACGGUUUAGAUCAAGAAAUCCAAGCUAUUUUCCAGUUGGACUCAACUAAAAGAAGCUUUUGGGCCUUGAUUACAGUUUAAUACCGCAAUUCACUCUAGACAGAUGACCAGCUUAAGAAAAUGACUCAAAUUGUGAAAAGGUUAUUGAGACAUAGUCUACUACAGUUUCAGAAUGAUUUGGGUGAAAAGAUACUGGUUUGAGAGUGUGCCUUAAGUUCAGUGGUCAGACUUCCUUGGGUUACAAAUCUAAAAUUUGCUAUUGGUAUUUAUAACUGAGAUGUUUCCAAUUGAUGCCUUACACGAGGCAUAGUAUGGAUCACCCAAGUAUGAAGAUGGAAUGUUAAGCAAGGUUUAUUGAAAUCUGAAAGUAUUGUAGGAAAUAAAGAACCUUAUUGGAUUAAGCAGAAAAAGACUCAAAUAACCCAGUAUUGACAAGGAGUUAUGUAGGUACUAAAAGAAAUAUCUUCAGUUGAGUAUUCUGCAACAUUUAUCGCCUUAGGGCGGUGAAAUGAGAUUUAAGGAAGCAGGGGAGCCAAAUCCUAGCUGUAUCAGAUCUAAGGAAAUUAUAGAAUGUGCGGGAAAGAAAUAGUUCAGAUUUUGGAAUAGAAAGUGUUUAGCUUUCAGUGAUAUUUGCAGUGUAAUAACCCGAGUAGAAAAUACAGGAGUAGCCCUUCUCCCCUCCUUGAGUGACAGAGAUGUAAAUUUCGAGGACGAAAUUUUUAUAAGGGGGGGUAGAUUGUAAUAACCCAAAACAAAAUAUCUAAAAAGAAAUAAAAUAUCUAAAAAGUAAGGAUAAUAUCUUCUAGCAUAAAAGACAAUUUUGCCCUCGCAUUAUUUAAUAGGGGGAAAAUUGACUUUUUGAUCGAGAAAGAAUUUGGCAAAUCCUCUUGUGCCGUUGCGUAGAGCACGGCGAGAGGAGUCCGUAGACACAGAGUAGACCCGAAUCGGAGUUGUAACGAAGAAGAUACGAUCAAAAUACCGUGAAGGGCAAAAUAGUAAUUUGGCCAAAAAGUCAGAUUUUUAACCCUUUUUCCUUCUCUCUCUCCUCAUUUCUCUCUCCUCCCGAUUUUUGCUCCAGCCGCCCGACCUUUCCUCCUUCUCCUUGACGCCACGGCCGCCACACUUGGAACCGAUCUCCACCGUUGGUACCAAACGAACCAGCACUCGACCGCCGACGUUUCUUGACCCUUCGCCGGAGUUUCCGUGGCCGGAACUCGCCGGAAAACUCCAUUUUCGCCGGAUUUCCAGUUUGAACUUUGAGCUCGAUUUUCUCCUUCAAUUCUCC